CACGACAAAGGCAAACCAUUGGAAACGAUGGGACGCAAAACUAUAGGGCCUUUCCGAAAGGAGUGGCAGCCAGUCGCCGAAU
rnacentral:ncRNA from 1 species